CAGCCGGCUACGCGGAGUGUAAACAGCUGCGUCGCCGCCGGUAGGGGGGGGCGGUGGCGCAGUAACCGCUGCGUCACGGUGACCUGCCGUCCUUGCCAGCAACGGCUGGUCGCUAAGCCACGCACGGUCCACGCGUGCCUCCUCGUACCCACGAUCCCAACAAGGCCUCACUCCUGUACAUAGCAAGUCCCCAUGAGCGUUUACAGAUCUGGAGAUAGUAUCUAUUAAGCUUACAUUGCUUCCUUUUCUCUGUGGUUUCGCUGUGGAGGAAAUUAGAAAAGGAAUUACUUGUGGAUCGCGCUGUAGCCCAAUUCGACAAGAAAAUUGUAGUCCUCCAUUGAUGGACAUUAUUUUUAAACAAAAUUAGUCUAAUAUUAUGUUCUAUCCUUCAGAAUUAUUGGUGUGAUAAGUAAACUUUGUAUACGAUUUUGUAUGUGUAGAUUGCACAAUUUUAACUAAGUCAGUUCUCAAUAUUUUGAACGUUUUGAAGGUUUUACAACAAGGCUCAAGUAAGACUGCAGAUCAUACUGAGAAAUUAGGUAAGGUAAUCUGCAAUACUAUUAUAUCAACCCUCUUAUAACGUUGGAGAUAAAAUGACUGAAUGUUUACAAAAGAUGAGAUAUUUAAAUAACAAAACUUUUAAUAGAAAAGUAAUCCGACUGCAGCAUAUGUGAUAAGUCUGUGUAUUGUUCUGGUACAAAGAAAAAAAUAUAAGUACCGUUUCUGUAUAGUGUA